rnacentral:precursor_RNA from 1 species
AUACAGCUGAUGGUCUAAACUAAACAGUUUAGUUUAGACCAUCAGCUGUGUCG